ACAUUGGUGGUUCAGUGGUAGAAUUCUCACCUUCUACGAGGGAGGCCCAGGUUCAAUUCCCAGCCAGUGCA
rnacentral:tRNA from 1 species